UUUUUUUUCUUUUUUUUUUAGUCAUCAUCAUCCGCCACUGCAUCAUUUUGCAAAGCUCCGUCUGGUGAACAUACCACAGGGAGACUUGGAACACGCUCACAUGCCAUUACCCUUAGGAAAAUGAAAAAUGAAGGAGAAAAUUAUCUUGUUUUGGAAACCUCAUUUGGUCUAAUUGCAGUUUAAAUAGACAUCCAGUAGCUAUGUGUGAAGACUGGCCUGUGAAAUAUACUGAGAUAGAAAAUUUUGUGGGGAGAUCCUGAUAUUAGCUUAAACGCUUCUACCCUUAGUUAGAACUUGUUUAUCUGAGCUGGUUUAAAGUCAUUGUAUACACUGAGAAACAAAGUUUCUGCAGGAGCUGCAACAUAUUGAGGCAUCUAUGUUAACUACCAGCCUAUGUUAAAUUCCACAGUCAAAGCCUGAACUCCAUAGAAAAAAUGAAGCCAGUUUUACAGUACAUAGCACAAACACUGAAAUCAGGAUAUCUACCAUAAUAAUUGCUUUCUUCUCUAAAAUCUUUGCAGAUGGUCUGAGUUCUGCUCUGCAAGUUCUACAGUGCUAGAUGAAGUAACUAGCUUUUUAACAUGUUGCAAAGUAGCACAAAUAUACCCUUACCCAGUGUUACUUAUAUAGCCAUAGCAACAGGGGGAUGGGAGAUUACUAAUUGGGAAAACAAAGUAUCCCACUACCUUUUCCUAUUCCAAGUAAUUUUCCAUCUUAUGAGUAAACCCAUUUCUGUUCAAAACAGCUUCAUUUGGCUUGUAUGUGGUUAAAUAUGGACUUUACACCCAGAGGAAAGGUAUAAGCAGUCAACUAAUUGUUUUAGGCUUCUAGAAUUGCAGACAGAAACAUGAGGUAAAAGAUAACAGUCAAGGACAAUAGCUUGUAUGCUUUCCCUUAUCUGAUCUUCUGGAUAAUUUAGAGGGGAUUAUGUGAGUUCUUUUCAUACAACCUGUGUAUGGGUUGUAAACUGGAUGCAUAUACUGAAUUUUAAAGACCCAGACUAACUGGUGCUUCAAGACUGUGUGUUCUCUCACAUUACCACACCCUCUAAGUAACAAAGUAAAACAUUUCAGCUUCCAAUCAACCUGACCCAGGAAUAGGUAUUUCCUUCAAACUCUCAAAGGUGGGCCUCUUAUCCUUAGAUACAUGUUUCUGAAGUUAAUUCAAUAAAAUUACAAAACCUAGAAAUUAGAAUUAUGAUGCUGAGUAAUGAUAGAUUAAUUUUCUGGGUCUUUCUAUGUAGCUUGACUCAUAGAAUAAAAAACUUCAGAUAUCAAAGCUAAAAUGGAUAGUGCCUUUUUUCUUCCAUUCUGAAUUGUCUCCUAGAUGUUAACUUUUGCAUAGCAGAUGCUCUCUAAAUACAUGUAUUUUAAAUAUAAGACAUCAAUCUCCGAAGCAUACAGUUGAAAACACAAUGGCUUUCUUAGAUAAAUACUCCUUUGGAAGCUACAUAGCAUCCAUAAAUAUUCUUAUUUCUUUUGGCAUAUUUUUUACUUUUUGAGGUUUAACUACUUUGAAAUUCCAGGUCCCCAGAUGGCUUCCACCAGUUCCCACCUCUCAGCAGAUCCUUUGUAAGAAGCAGGAAAUCUGUCCUUCACGCUUUGACAACAGGUCAUUGUCUCCUUCCAUUAAUUCAAUUCAUACUUAUUUAUUUAAUAUCUCGUUAAUGUUCAGGUCCUCUGGUUGCAUUUUGAUUGUUUUUACGGUGCCUGAGCAAUUUUAAUAGCAUAAAGGUAAAGAUGCUUGGAAGUUUUAUUCUAAGGCAGGAGGAGAACAAGUCCUCCUGCCCCACAUCCCAGUGAGUCUUCACCAGGCUCCAGAUACUCAGUCUUUCUUCUGCAAAGACUUUGUUCAUAGUGAUCUUGUCACUGCUGCUGACACCAAGUAAAUGUGUCCUUGACACCUACUCUGACCCUUUCCCCUUCCUCUGUCUGUCCUGCUCCUCUCUGUGGAUUGUCCUAGGACUUCCUUGCCUCCAGUUCCCUUUGCACUU
rnacentral:lncRNA from 1 species